rnacentral:rRNA from 1 species
GAUGAACGCUGGCGGCGUGCUUAACACAUGCAAGUCGAACGGAAAGGCUCCUGCUUGCAGGGGUACUCGAGUGGCGAACGGGUGAGUAACACGUGGGUGAUCUGCCCUGCACUUCGGGAUAAGCCUGGGAAACUGGGUCUAAUACCGGAUAGGACGAUGGUUUGGAUGCCAUUGUGGAAAGUUUUUCGGUGUGGGAUUAGCUCGCGGCCUAUCAGCUUGUUGGUGGGGUAAUGGCCUACCAAGGCGUCGACGGGUAGCCGGCCUGAGAGGGUGGACGGCCACAUUGGUACUGAGAUACGGCCCAGACUCCUACGGGAGGCAGCAGUGGGGAAUAUUGCACAAUGGGCGCAAGCCUGAUGCAGCGACGCCGCGUGGGGGAUGACGGCCUUCGGGUUGUAAACUCCUUUCGCUAGGGACGAAGCGCAAGUGACGGUACCUGGAGAAGAAGCACCGGCUAACUACGUG